GAUUAGAUACCCUGGUAGUCCACGCCCUAAACGAUGUCUACUAGUUGUCGGGUCUUAAUUGACUUGGUAACGCAGCUAACGCGUGAAGUAGACCGCCUGGGGAGUACGGUCGCAAGAUUAAAACUCAAAGGAAUUGACGGGGACCCGCACAAGCGGUGGAUGAUGUGGAUUAAUUCGAUGCAACGCGAAAAACCUUACCUACCCUUGACAUGGAUGGAAUCCCGAAGAGAUUUGGGAGUGCUCGAAAGAGAACCAUCACACAGGUGCUGCAUGGCUGUCGUCAGCUCGUGUCGUGGGAUGUUGGGUUAAGUCCCGCAACGAGCGCAACCCUUGUCAUUAGUUGCUACGAAAGGGCACUCUAAUGAGACUGCCGGUGACAAACCGGAGGAAGGUGGGGAUGACGUCAAGUCCUCAUGGCCCUUAUGGGUAGGGCUUCACACGUCAUACAAUGGUACAUACAGAGGGCCGCCAACCCGCGAGGGGGAGCUAAUCCCAGAAAGUGUAUCGUAGUCCGGAUUGGAGUCUGCAACUCGACUCCAUGAAGUUGGAAUCGCUAGUAAUCGCGGAUCAGCAUGUCGCGGUGAAUACGUUCCCGGGUCUUGUACACACCGCCCGUCACACCAUGGGAGCGGGUUUUACCAGAAGUAGGUAGCUUAACCGUAAGGAGGGCGCUUACCACGGUAGGAUUCGUGACUGGGGUGAAGUCGUAACAAGG
rnacentral:rRNA from 1 species